GAAUUCACUUGAUUCGGAGAGGGAGCCUGAGAAACGGCUACCACAUCUAAGGAAGGCAGCAGGCGCGUAAAUUACCCAAUCCUGACACAGGGAGGUAGUGACAAGAAAUAUCAAUAUAAGACGUUUCUGUCUUGUAAUUGGGAUGAGCGAAACAUAAACCGCUUCUCGAGUAUCAAUUGGAGGGCAAGUCUGGUGCCAGCAGCCGCGGUAAUUCCAGCUCCAAUAGCGUAUAUUAAAAUUGUUGCGGUUAAAACGCUCGUAGUUGGAUAUCUGCCAAGGAGUUUCGGUCCUCCCCAGUGGAGAAUACGCGGAACAUUUCUUGGCACUUGUUCAGGGAAGGUGUUUGCACUUUGUUGUGCGUCACGUGAUCUGAAUUUUUACUUUGAGGAAAUGAGAGUGUUUCAAGCAGGCUUUUGCCGUGAAUAUGAUAGCAUGGAAUAAUAGCACAGGACCCCUUUCCAAAGCUGUUGGUUUUUGGAACGAGGUAAUCAUAAUAAGGACAGUUGGGGGUAUUCGUAUUUAACUGUCAGAGGUGAAAUUCUUGGAUUUUUUAAAGACGAACUAUUGCGAAGGCAUCUGCCCAGGAUGUUUUUGUUGAUCAAGAACGAAAGUUAGGGGAUCGAAGACGAUCAGAUACCGUCCUAGUCUUAACCCUAAACUAUGCCGACUGGAGAUUGGAGUCGUCAGUCCUUGACGUCUUCAGCAUCCUGAGAGAAAUCUAAGUCUUUGGGUUCCGGGGGGAGUAUGGUCGCAGGGCUGAAACUUAAAGGAAUUGACGGAAGGGCACCACCAGGAGUGGAGCCUGCGGCUUAAUUUGACUCAACACGGGAAAACUUACCAGGUCCAGACAUAGAUAGGAUUGACAGACUGAUAGCUCUUUCUUAAUUCUAUGGGUGGUGGUGCAUGGCCGUUCUUAAUUGGUGGAGUGAUUUGUCUGGUUAAUUCCGUUAACGAACGAGACCUUAACCUGCUAAAUAGUUUCCAAAACUUCGGUUUUCGGCUUACUUCUUAGAGGGACUUCGUGUGUUUAACAUGAGGAAGUUUGAGGCAAUAACAGGUCUGUGAUGCCCUUAGAUGUCCUGGGCUGCACGCGCGCUACACUGAUGUGUCCAGUAAGCACCUAACCUCAUCCGAAGGGAUCGGGUAACCUUUGCAACGCACAUCGUGAUGGGGAUAGAUUAUUGCAAUUAUUAGUCUUGAACGAGGAAUUCCUAGUAAGCACAAGUCAUCAGCUUGUGCUGAUUACGUCCCUGCCCUUUGUACACACCGCCCGUCGCUCCUACCGAUUGAAUGGUCCGGUGAAUACUUCGGACUGUGAAAUGUUUAGUUUCUAACCAUUUCACGGAAAGUUGAAUAAACCUUAUCAUUUAGAGGAAGGAGAAGUCGUAACAAGGUAGCCGUA
rnacentral:rRNA from 1 species